rnacentral:rRNA from 1 species
GUAGGGGGCGAGCGUUGUCCGGAUUUGCUGGGCGUAAAGAGCGCGUAGGCGGUUUCGAGAGUCGGCUGUGAAAUCUCCAGGCUCAACCUGGAGGGGUCGGCCGAGACCUUGAGACUUGAGGGUGGUAGAGGAAGGUGGAAUUCCGGGUGUAGUGGUGAAAUGCGUAGAUAUCCGGAGGAACACCAGUGGCGAAGGCGGCCUUCUGGGCCAAACCUGACGCUGAGGCGCGAAAGCGUGGGGAGCGAACCGAAUUAGAUACUCGGGUAGUCCACGCCCUAAACGAUGGACGCUAGGUGUCGGGGGUAUCGACCCCUCCGGUGCCCGAGCUAACGCAGUAAGCGUCCCGCCUGGGGAGUACGGCCGCAAGGCUA